CAGUCGCCGGCGGUAAUACGUAGGGUGCAAGCGUUAAUCGGAAUUACUGGGCGUAAAGCGUGCGCAGGCGGUUAUAUAAGACAGAUGUGAAAUCCCCGGGCUCAACCUGGGAACUGCAUUUGUGACUGUAUAGCUAGAGUACGGCAGAGGGGGAUGGAAUUCCGCGUGUAGCAGUGAAAUGCGUAGAUAUGCGGAGGAACACCGAUGGCGAAGGCAAUCCCCUGGGCCUGUACUGACGCUCAUGCACGAAAGCGUGGGGAGCAAACAGGAUUAGAUACCCCUGUAGUCCCUGUCUCUUAUA
rnacentral:rRNA from 1 species